ACCAGAGUGCCUUUCGUAGCAUUUUACUUGUAUGGGUUCUUCAUUCAUCACUCCAAUCAAUGUUUUGCGCUCUGCGGAGCGCACCUCGGGAAACGCCCACCGGCAUCCCUCUCAAGAUAUGUGGCCGCAGUCACUCUGCAAUCAACACACCUGAUGAGAAUCUUGUCUUCAUAAGCCAGGGCGUCCUGCGUUCCAAUGCCAGAACUUGUACAAACCCGAGCUGAAAUCUCUGCUGCCUUCCUGGAUCUCGACCUCACGCCUGCCUUUGGACCACGACGCCUCGCUCCAGCCCCGGACCUCCUGCCUGUCCCUGGACCUCCGAGCCUGCCUUGCCCGUUCUGGACUUUCACACCUUUAACACCACCUGGUAACACUCCUCAUAUAUCUGCUACACAUAGUCACACCUUAUACA